UACGUAGGGUGCAAGCGUUAAUCGGAAUUACUGGGCGUAAAGCGUGCGCAGGCGGUUUUGUAAGUCUGUCGUGAAAUCCCCGGGCUCAACCUGGGAAUGGCGAUGGAGACUGCAAGGCUAGAGUUUGGCAGAGGGGGGUAGAAUUCCACGUGUAGCAGUGAAAUGCGUAGAGAUGUGGAGGAACACCGAUGGCGAAGGCGGCCCCCUGGGUCAAGAUUGACGCUCAUGCACGAAAGCGUGGGGAGCAAACAGG
rnacentral:rRNA from 1 species